GACUCGGUGGCGGAUGGUCCGCAUCCACAACUCAUGAUUGAUUCUGAAAUUUGUUGUAAUUGGAUGUGGAAGUCGCCUGUUCGAAUCAGGCCCGAGUCA